UCCAUCCUUCUCUUGGGGUUGAGCUGCUGACCAAUGAAUGGUUAAUGAGGUCAGUACUGCUAACACCACAAACAACACUGAAGCAUCCCUAAUAUAUAAAUAUGUAUAUUAGUAAGGUGCAAUUUUUGGACCC